rnacentral:rRNA from 1 species
AUACCGGCGGCUCGAGUGGUGGCCACUUUUAUUGGGCUUAAAGCGUUCGUAGCUGGGUUGUUAAGUCUCUUGGGAAAUCUGGCAGCUUAACUGUCAGGCGUCUAAGAGAUACUGGCAAUCUAGGAACCGGGAGAGGUGAGGGGUACUUCGGGGGUAGGAGUGAAAUCCUGUAAUCCUCGAGGGACCACCUGUGGCGAAGGCGCCUCACCAGAACGGCUUCGACAGUGAGGGACGAAAGCUGGGGGAGCAAACCGGAUUAGAUACCCGGGUAGUCCCAGCCGUAAGCGAUGCGCGUUAGGUGUGUCGAUGACCACGAGUCAUCGAGGUGCCGAAGGGAAACCGUGAAACGCGCCGCCUGGGAAGUACGGUCGCAAGGCUGAA